rnacentral:rRNA from 1 species
AAGGGCACCACCAGGAGUGGAGCCUGCGGCUUAAUUCGACUCAACACGGGAAAACUCACCAGGCCCGGACACUGGAAGGAUUGACGGAUUAACAGCUCUUUCUCGAUUCGGUGGGUGGUGGUGCAUGGCCGCUCUUAGUUGGUGGAGCGAUUUGUCAUGUUAAUUCCGGUAACGAACGUAACUCUAGCCUAUUAAAUAGACGUGCAACCGGUAUCACGAGGGCCCGCGUGCGCGCGUACCGGCGGCGUUUACGCGUCGUCGGCGCGCGUUUCGCGGUCUUCACUACCGGCGUACAAUGAAAAUCUUCUUAGAGGGACCGGCGGUAUAUAUAGCCGCACGAGAUUGAGCAAUAGCAGGUCUGUGAUGCCCUUAGAUGUCCUGGGCCGCACGCGCGCUACACUGAAGGGAUCAGCGUGUCCUCCUUGGCCUAACGGCCCGGGUAACCCGAUGAAACCCCUUCGUGAUAGGGAUUGGGGUUUGCAAUUCUCCCCCAUGAACGAGGAAUUCCUAGUAAAAGCGGGUCACCAGCUCGCGUUGAUUGCGUCCCUGCCCUUUGUACACACCGCCCGUCGCUACUACCGAUGGAUGAUUUGGUGAGGUCUUCGGACUGGUGCGCGGAAGCUCUUCGCGGGCAUCCGACGCGUCGGAAAGUUUGACCGAAUUUGAUCAUUUAGAGGAAGUAAAAGUCGUAACAAGGUUUCC